GACAGAGGAUGCAAGCGUUAUCCGGAAUGAUUGGGCGUAAAGCGUCUGUAGGUGGCUUUUAAGUCCGCCGUCAAAUCCCAGGCUCAACCCUGGACAGGCGGUGGAACUACCAAGCUGGAGUACGGUAGGGCAGAGGGAAUUCCCGGUGUAGCGGUGAAAUGCGUAGAUAUCGGGAAGAACACCAAGGCGAAAGCGCUCUGCUGGGCCGAAACUGAACACUGAGAGACGGAAAGCUAGGGAGCGAAUGGGAUUAGGAUAACCCGAGU
rnacentral:rRNA from 1 species